rnacentral:lncRNA from 1 species
CAAGGCCCUCCAUCUGGUAACAGAAUAGUUGUGAUAGAUACCAUGUGGCCCGCAAAGCCUAAAAUAUUUCCUUUCUGUCCCUUACAGAAAAGGUUUGCCAGUCCCUGGUAUAGAUAAUUCAAAAGCAUCCACUGAGCAGACUCCCAUUUACCAGCAGGGGGCAGGUUCUCAACAGAAACUGAAUUUGCUGUCAUCUUGAUGAUGGACUUCCAGCAACCUCUGCCUCCCGGGUUCAAGUGAUUCUCCUGCCUCAGCCUCCUGAGUAGCUGGGAUUACAGGCACGUGCCACCAUGGCCAGCUACCUUUUUCUAUUUUUAAAGUAGAGAUGGAGUUUCACCAUGUUGGCCAGGCUGGUCUCGAACUCCUGACCUCAGGUGAUCCAUCUGCCUCGGCCUCCCAGAAUACAACAACUAUUUAUUGAGCUCACAGCUCUGUGGGAUGGCAGUUUGGGGUAGGUUCAUGUGGGCAGUUCUGCGAUUUCGCCAAGUUUGGUUUAUCUCAGCUGGAACUCACUCGUACAUCUGAAGUUGGCUGCUGGAUGGGCACAGGGCUUUCUGAUGUCAGCUGGGGCACCUUCCUUUUCUCUGCAGGGUCUCUCAUCAUCCAACAGGCUAGCAUGGGCUUGUUCUCAUGGUGAUGGGUCUGACCAAGAGCAGUGAGAGGGCAAGGCCAAUGAGCAAGCACUUUUCAAGUUUCUGCUUGCAUAAUGUUUGCUGCUGUCUCAUUGGCUAGAGCAAGUCACAUGGCCAAGUCUGGCGUUCUUGUCAGAGUCAUUAAACAAAAUCAGAGCCGUUCCUGCAAGCUGUGCACAGCACCAGGGAACAGCUGACAAGGAGCCCAAUGUUUCCAUCCAAACAUACCUCAGAGCAGGGAAAAUGGCUCCUGUUAUCCUAAAAGAAAUCGUGGCUCCAUUUUGCUGCUCCUCAACAAUGUCAUGUGUGAACCUCUGAUCCCUUUGGUGGGAAUGGUGAUAAUAAAAAUAAUGAUUAGUGACAUUGAUA